UGACCUCAAAUCGGGUGGGACUACCCGCUGAACUUAAGCAUAUCAAUAAGCGGAGGAAAAGAAACUAACAAGGAUUCCCCUAGUAACUGCGAGUGAAGCGGGAAAAGCUCAAAUUUAAAAUCUGGCGGUCUUUGGCCGUCCGAGUUGUAGUCUGGAGAAGUGCUUUCCGCGCUGGACCGUGUACAAGUCUCCUGGAACGGAGCGUCAUAGAGGGUGAGAAUCCCGUCUUUGACACGGACUACCAGUGCUCUGUGAUGCGCUCUCAAAGAGUCGAGUUGUUUGGGAAUGCAGCUCAAAAUGGGUGGUGAAUUCCAUCUAAAGCUAAAUAUUGGCGAGAGACCGAUAGCGAACAAGUACCGUGAGGGAAAGAUGAAAAGCACUUUGGAAAGAGAGUUAAACAGUACGUGAAAUUGCUGAAAGGGAAACGCUUGAAGUCAGUCGCGUCGGCCGGAACUCAGCCUUGCUUUCGCUUGGUGUACUUUCCGGUCGACGGGCCAGCAUCGAUUUCGAUCGUCGGAAAAAGGCAGAGGGAAUGUGGCACCUUCGGGUGUGUUAUAGCCCUCUGUUGCAUACGACGGUUGGGAUCGAGGUUCGCAGCACGCCUUUAUGGUCGGGGUUCGCCCACGUUCGUGCUUAGGAUGCUGGCGUAAUGGCUUUAAACGACCCGUCUUGAAACACGGACCAAGGAGUCUAACAUUAGGGUUAGGUUAGGGUUAGGUUAGGGUUAGGUUAGGGUUAGGGUUAGGUUAGGGUUAGGGUUAGGGUUAGGGUUAGGGUUAGGGUUAGGGUUAGGGUUAGGGUUAGGGU
rnacentral:ncRNA from 1 species